rnacentral:rRNA from 1 species
AGGGAAUCUUCCACAAUGGACGGAAGUCUGAUUGAGCAACGUUGCGUUAGUGAUGAUGUCUUUCGGAUCGUAAAACUCUGUUGUAAGGGAAGAACCCGUACGUUAGUCAAUGUACGUACCUUGAUGGUACCUUAUUAGAAAGCCACGGCUAACUACGUGCCAGCAGCCGCGGUAAUACGUAGGUGGCAAGCGUUGUCCGGAAUUAUUGGGCGUAAAGCGCGCGCAGGUGGUUUCUUAAGUCUGAUGUGAAAGCCACGGCUUAACCGUGGAGAGUCAUUGGAAACUGGGAGACUUGAGUGCAGAAGAGGAAAGUGGAAUUCCAAGUGUAGCGGUGAAAUGCGUAGAGAUUUGGAGGAACACCAGUGGCGAAGGCGACUUUCUCGUCUGCAACUGACGCUGAGGCGCGAAAGCAUGGGGAGCAGACA